rnacentral:rRNA from 1 species
UACGUAGGUGGCAAGCGUUAUCCGGAAUUAUUGGGCGUAAAGGGUGCGUAGGCGGUUUAUUAAGUCUAUGGUGAAAGUGCGGGGCUCAACCCCGUAUGGCCAUAGAAACUGGUAGACUUGAAUACGGGAGAGGGCAGUGGAAUUCCUGGUGUAGGAGUGAAAUCCGUAGAUAUAUGGAGGAACACCAGUGGCGAAGGCGGUUGCCUGGCCUGUAACUGACGCUGAAGCACGAAAGCGUGGGGAGCAAAUAGG